CCUUGAAGGUAACUAUACUGUAUGCCAUGAUAAAAACUCGUAAUAUUAAGCCUCAUAAAUAAACCUCACAAACAUCACCAUAACUAUUCAUGUGUAAAGAUGAAUUACAGGUGGUCAGUCAGUGUGCUGAUCAUUACAUAAAAUUACUUCUCGUAGUUAUGAAUUGUAGGAAACUUUUUCCUCGUCAAAGCAGAGACCAGGAGACGUUGGGAUAUCUUUCAAGCAGAAGUUACUCUUUAUUGAGAAACGCACUGUGCGUCGCUGUAGUCAUCCAAGUCUAACUAAGGCAGUGUAUACAUGAUGAUUUAUAGGCAUUCAGUGGGCAGUCCUUAAAGGUGUUUCCCUUAACCACAGCCUUAGAAGUGACCACUAAAACAAAAGCAUCUAAAGACAAUACGGGCAAUUACCCCCGACUGUGUAGAUAAUAGUACCCCAAAUGGUAUAAACAGUAGCUGGUCACGAGAACUAAGAGUAUGUAAACAUUCACACAUAGUUUGACUUCCAGUAGGAAGAUCAAAGCAUUCAAAUGCAUAGGUGCUAACCCAAUCAGUCUGACAGUAUAGCCCAUACCUUCACGUUAUCAUAGAGACAAAGGCACAGCUGUCUUGAGCUUGCCAUGCCAAAUGGUCAGGAAGUGCAUAAAGACACCUGGGCUGCCUGACUUGAUUUUCUUAGAAAGACAUCCUUUUUACCUCAAAAUGUUAAAUACAAUGUACUUCACCUUAGUAUUUCAUAUGAUGUUAUGUCAGGACGUAGGAUCAGCAGAUCUUAAACAGAUUCUUACAUUUGUAAUCCCACAGAAUGUAUGAUUAAUGUAGGAUUAAGCAUGAUUACUGUACUUUCAUUCAUCUUAAUAUAUAAAUAUCCCUAAACUACUGAAUGAUUUACUAAACGACAUAAUAGUUGGCAAUAGGUUAACAUCAAAUACCAGUGAAGCACAGUGUAAUAGCCAACUAUAGAAAAAAUACUAUUUAACGAUUGACAAAUUCAGAUUCAAGUAGCUUUAUUGGCAUGUUAAAAUGGCUUUACAUUGCCAAAGCAUUGACAGCGCUCUGAUCCAAUGGUGUUGAGCAUUAUCAAAUUUACAAGCAACAAUGGGAAGCUAAUCAAGCAGUGAUAGCCAACAGAUGGGCCUGGCAGACAUAGGCCCACCCACUAUGAUGAAUAAAUCCCACCCAGUUAUUAUACAAAUUUUAUUUAUUAAAGUAUUGUUGUUUCAUUGAUUUUAAUAUAAUUACAAACAUGAUUAUACCAUCUUAAAUCCUAAACUAAAUAAAAUGUGUUUUUGGAUGAUGCAUGAUGAGUUUGAUUGACAUCUGUGUUUGGUAAUUAGCGGUUAUCCUGUCUCAGCCAUUUUGUGCCUGUGAGUUGUGUUAGCCAGCAGCAAUGUUUAAACAAAAUUCUAUAAAAAAAAUUACUUUUAAAAAACUUGCAUUCACCCAGGAGAUACCCCUCCGUCAGCAGUGGCAUGCAGUGGUGUUCUGAAAUGAGGAGGAAACAAUGUCCUCACAGUUUUUUAUUUUUUUUUUAUAAAUCAAAUGUAAAUUCAUGCCGUUACUCUUAACGUUGUUACAUCAAAGUACCGCGAGAGCGAUUCAAAAGCAUAAGGAGUCCUAUGUAUGCUCCCCAAUCGCUCUCGCUGUACUUUGAUGUCAUACACCAAUCGGUCUGCGCAGCACGGAUACAUCUCGAACAAGCCUAUUGACUUAUUUCUGUUGACUGCAAGCUGAUGUGAUUUGUGUCAGUUUUCUUGUAGUCUCUAUGAAUACGGCACAGGUGAACCACUGGCAGUUGGAGUGUGUGAAUCCUCUUGUGUUUGUGCCAACUUGUCUAACUUGGAAUAAAAUUGUCUGUGCAAGAUGUACAUUUCUAGCAAGCACUUAAGACUUAAGCUUACAUCUCUGGACAGUUAGAUGCUUAUCAGGGGUGAAACAGGUGACAAAAUGUUUGAACUUGGGUUAAAAAAAUUUUAAUAUCAGUUUUAUACAAUAUACACACAAUAAAACCUCCAGUGUUAAAUGAACACUGUUAGUGUUAAAUUAACAUUGCCAGUGUUUAUAUAAUCCACACCGGAUUAUAUAAACACCGGGUGACACUGGAAGUGUUCAUUUAACACUGGAUGUUUUGCUUUGCAGAAAACAACACUUAAACAAACUGAAAACUGAGCUCAAAAAUACUAGAACCUGUUAGAAAGAUUUUUGAAACAUCUUUAAAAAUACUGCUUUUUAAUAUGACCUAAUAAGAACAAGGCUAUGAAUAAAAAGCUACAAAUAGGAGGAAAAAUAAAACUUUUAUAUAUAAUCAACAAAUUCAAAUCUGUCACUAAAUAAUUGUUAGGCACCCACCGUGCUAGGCCUAUAUCAGAAUAACAAUGUAACAUCACUUUUCAAAGCAUAAGCACAACACUUAUUUUGAAAAAUUCAUACUUCAUAAUUCAUUCGUCCUAAAACAGGAUGUAGCUUAAACCCUAGAGCAGGGGUGUCAAACUCAUUUUAGGUUGAGGGCUGGAUUGGAAAAAAAAUAACCAUGUGCAGGCCAAAUAAAAAAAAAAAAAAAAAAAAA